CUCGAUCCCUUUGUUUCUCUCUCAGUCUCUCUCCCCCCUCAGAUCCCUCUCUUUCUCCCUCUUAUCUCGCUUUCAUAUUCAGAUAAACUUGUAAGUCACUACAUGUACAUGUAUUUGUGCAGUAAGGUGAAGGAGCUCAUUAACACAUACAUAAAUACAUAAUUAAAGCAAUCUAUCAAUGCCUAGGACACUUUUAACAUACAUGUAUAAUAUCUUUACACAAAAUUGAUAUUAGUCUAACCAAUUAUAAAUAUAAAUCCCUUCAUAUAUAGUCAACCGGGGCUAUUUCAUUCCGGGGCUAUUCCGUUUCUUUAAUACACCAAUGGUAAAACACGUGUAGUCGCACGGAAUAGCCCCGCCUAGGGGAUGUUCUUUCUAGGCUUAUAACUUGGGAACCAUGGAGUUUUAAGACCCAAAACUGGUACCAGUGGAUCUAGGAUGGAUCAAGCUAUAGAAUGGCACCAAAGAUGAUGUAUAAAUCAACGAAACGCGGGAGAAAAACAUGGGUGAGAGAGCUGAUUUUAGCAGUAAGAAACACGAAGGAUACUUUUAGUAGCUACUACUAAAUGCAUUAGACUUUUAUAACAAUAAUAAAUUAUUAUGUAUGAUAAAACCAUA